GCGACCCCAGGUCAGGCGGGNNUACCCGCUGAAUUUAAGCAUAUAAAUAAGCGGAGGA
rnacentral:rRNA from 1 species